AUACGUAGGGGGCGAGCGUUGUCCGGAAUGAUUGGGCGUAAAGGGCGCGUAGGCGGCUUUGCAAGUCAGUAGUGGAAGUCCAUUUUUCAAGGAUGGAAGUGCUACAGAAACUGCGGAGCUUGAGUGCAGGAGAGGUUAUCGGAAUUCCCGGUGUAGCGGUGAAAUGCGUAGAGAUCGGGAGGAAUACCAGUGGCGAAGGCGGGUAACAGGACUGCACCUGGCGCUGAGGCGCGAAAGUGUGCAGAGCAAAAAGGAAGAGAUACCCUGGUAGUCCAGAUUGUAAACGAUGAUUGCUAAGUGUAGGAGGUAUCGAGCCUUUCUGUGCCUCAGUAACCACAGUAAGCAUUCCGCCUGGGGAGUACGGUCGCAAGAUGAAAACUCAAAGGAAUUGACGGGG
rnacentral:rRNA from 1 species